UUCUCGUAAGGUGAGAAAUUAGCUUUAUAUUAACCUUCCGCAUAGGUAAAAUUGUAACGAAACCGGACCGGAUGUUAGGAAUUAUUGUACCCGGUGUUUUUCCCCGUCUAAUUGCACGUACUCUAGAAUACAAUAUCGUUUAACGUUGAGGAUAUACAAUUAUAUAUAUAUUUUAAAAUGGUUUUAAAAUGUCAAGAGGACAGCUUUUUAACCGAGUGGAACACCAAAGUGAAGAGCUGUUCUCCAGCAAAGCUAGAGAUUGUAGAAAAUGGUAAGAAGAAGAAAAUAUCAGGAUAUGAAGUAAUCUUAGCAGACACCAUAUUGUUUCCUGAAGGUGGCAGACAGCCUGAUGAUAGAGGAACA
rnacentral:lncRNA from 1 species